rnacentral:rRNA from 1 species
AGUGGGGAAUAUUGGACAAUGGGCGCAAGCCUGAUCCAGCCAUGCCGCGUGUGUGAAGAAGGCCUUCGGGUUGUAAAGCACUUUCAGCGAGGAGGAAGGGUGGUGUGUUAAUAGCACAUCAUUUUGACGUUACUCGCAGAAGAAGCACCGGCUAACUCUGUGCCAGCAGCCGCGGUAAUACAGAGGGUGCAAGCGUUAAUCGGAAUUACUGGGCGUAAAGCACACGUAGGCGGUUUUUUAAGUCAGAUGUGAAAGCCCCGGGCUCAACCUGGGAAUUGCAUUUGAAACUGGGAAACUAGAGUGUGUGAGAGGGGGGUAGAAUUCCAAGUGUAGCGGUGAAAUGCGUAGAGAUUUGGAGGAAUACCAGUGGCGAAGGCGGCCCCCUGGCACAACACUGACGCUCAGGUGCGAAAGCGUGGGGAGCAAA